rnacentral:rRNA from 1 species
GGCUUGUUGAUUAUAAUUUCAAGUYUGACCUGCCCAAUGAGGAUUAUUAAAUGGCCGCAGUAUUUUGACUGUGCAAAGGUAGCAUAAUCAAUAGUUUUUUAAUUGGAAACUGGAAUGAAAGGUUUGAUGAAAAAAUUUCUGUCUCUAGGAAAAUUUAUUAGAACUUUAUUUUUAAGUAAAAAAGCUUAGAUGUGUAUAGAAGACGAGAAGACCCUAUAGAGUUUUAUAUUUAUGAAAAAAUGAUUUUUUUAGAGUUUUUAAGAUCCUAUUUUUAUAAGUAUUUUGUUGGGGUGAUAGAAAAAUUUGAGUAACUUUUUUUUUAUUUAGACAUUGAUGUGUGAGUAUUUGAUCCUAGAGUUGAGAUUAUAAGAUUAAAUUACCUUAGGGAUAACAGCGUAAUUUUUUUAAGAGUUCUUAUCAGAAAAAAAGAUUGCGACCUCGAUGUUGGAUUAAAAUUAAUUUUUGGUGAAGAAGCUAAAAAAUUAGGUCUGUUCGACCUUUAAAAUUUUACAUGAUCUGAGUUUAAACCGGCGUGAG